GACCCUGUUGGGAAGCAGCCUGAGACGC
rnacentral:sRNA from 1 species